rnacentral:rRNA from 1 species
UGCGCAGGCGGGUUUGUAAGUCAGUGGUGAAAUCCUGCCGCUUAACGGUAGAAUUGCCAUUGAUACUGCGAAUUUUGAGUAUGGUUGAGGUAGGCGGAAUGUGUAGUGUAGCGGUGAAAUGCAUAGAUAUUACACAGAACUCCGAUUGCGAAGGCAGCUUACUAAGCCAUAACUGACGCUGAGGCACGAAAGCGUGGGGAGCGAACAGGAUUAGAUACCCUGGUAGUC